UAAGCAAAUAGUGAAAGCGUGCGGCUCAACCGCAUGUCCAUUAUUUGAACUGUAUAGCUAGAGGAUGAGAGAGGUUAUUGGAAUUUCUAGUGUAGGAGUGAAAUCCGUAGAUAUUAGAAGGAACACCGAUGGCGUAGGCAGAUAACUGGCUCAUUCCUGACACUAAGGCACGAAAGCGUGGGAGCGAACGGGAUUAGAUACCCCGGUAGUCCACGCCGUAAACUAUGGAUGCUA
rnacentral:rRNA from 1 species